UAAAAAAAAAAAUUGAUGCGCUAUUACUGACGUUUUAGAACCGUCGGGCAAAAUAUGGACCACGAUUUUAAAGCGUGGCCCAUACUUUGCCCGACGAUUCUAAACCGUCGGUAAAUACCCUUUCAAAAUAAAAUCUCGUGCGUCAGACCUCUCCUUCAUAUUAGCCUCAAUCGCGAUUUGCCCUAAGCCUUUUGCUUCACCCCAACGCACGAGCCUAUCUCUGGUUUCCAUCAGAUCGACGAGCCCCCAAUCCGUCAGCCGUGAGCCUAUCUCCGCUCUGGUUCAAGAUUCCGUUGUCCGCCCGUGAUUGAAGGCAUAAUCUGCUCCUUCCUUCCAGGGUAAGAGCGAUCCGUAUUCAAAUGAUGAGAUGAAUAUUCUGCGUGAUCAGUGGAUUGAAUACGUUCGAGCACAGGCAGUGCAACAAGGACUAUUACAAUGAUCAAUUUCUGUUUUUGUUUAUACUUAAUCCUAAAUAAUUAGUGACAAUAUAUAAAUCAUGUAGGGAAAACUUUACUAUAUAAAUCAGAAUCUGUUUUAGUUUGACAAAUGACAAUAUAUAUACUUUAUCCUAACUAUUUUUUUCCUUUU